rnacentral:tRNA from 1 species
GAACCCGUAGCUCAGCUGGUAGAGCAACGGCCUUUUAAGCCGUGGGUCGCAGGUUCGAAUCCUGCCGGGUUCA